AGCGGGGGCGGGGCCCGGAGGGAGUCUGGGAGGGCCCGAAAGUUUGCCCAAGUCGCUGGGGCGGCCGGCCGGGGUGCAAGCAGUCGGGCCGGGCUCCCACGACCCCCGCGCGGGGCGGGCCCAGGCAGGAAGUGGGCGCACUUACUGGCCCCCUCGAUCUUGUCGGCGCCCCGGCUCCACGUGAUCUGGCGCGUCUCCAGCUUGACCUGGAAGGUCUUCCGCUCGGGUCGCUGCGACUUCUUGGAGUAGAACAAAGUCAUGACGGUGCCCACCUCGAGGCUGCGGCAGAGCACCGCCAAAAUUGAGGACACCCACGGUCGCGGUGGAGCCUGUCUGACAUGUUGAGCCAGGCAGUGGGUCGGCUGCCAGGCACAGCAGGACAACUUACUGCAUUUCAGAGGAAUGAUGGUCCACAAUUUACUGAUGAGGAAACAGAGAUUCAGAGAAGUUCUACAAUUUGCCCCAAAGCCACAUAACAUGACUAGGUGGGAACUAGAACCCAAGUCGGCCUGACUCCAUGAGUUUUCUGCCUCACAGGAGAUCCACUGGCUUAGAGUUUCUCUCUCGUCGCCCAGGCUGGCGUGCAAUGGCACAAUCUUGGCUCACUGCAAUCUCCGCCUCCCGAGUUCAAGCAGUCCUGCCUCAGCCUCCUGAGUCUCUUUUGAUUUGGUGCUGUCACAGGUUGGGUUCUUUGGAUGUGGACUCUGUGACAGGAAACCAGCCAAGUAACCUUGUUAUCAUGCCGGACUUCUUUCCACUUAUGUCCUGGAGGAGGAGAAGGAACCUUGGCAUCUCUGGAAAUAACAGAGCACGAGGAUAGUGAAAUAAGAUGCCCCAAAGUGUGAAAGUGGUGAUGUUGGCAAUUUGGAUAUGCCAUACAGAAGCUGCACAGAGUGCUUUAAAUGAAAAGGUGGAAAUUAUCGACUUAAUAAAAAAAACUGUAUGGUGAAGUUGCUAAGAUCUAAGGCAGCCUGUAGAAGAAAAAUGACAUCCCAGCUGGAUACCAGAAAGAUCCUUCAGUAAUGAGGAUGGCCAAGGCUGGAAGAUGGAGAUGGAUGAGCAUCACAAGAUUCCAGAGUAAAAUAGAUCAAAGAGCAGGGAGGUACAUGGCCAAUAUGAUUUCAUCUGUCUUAAAUCCUUAAUAUCCAGUAGCCACUGUGGGACAGGUCUGCCCAUCCUUAAUUACUAUAUUAUUGGCUGGAGUUACUGACUGGUUUUUAGGUCACUGAAGCACCAAGAUUCCUGUACAGAGCUACUGAGCAAAGUACUUGUUCACAAUUUUCAGUCUAACUAAAACCUUUAAGAAAAUUUAGACUUUGAGAACUCUAAGUCUUUAGCAUAGAAUGAUGUGAAAUUACUGAUGUUAAUGUUGUGUCAUAAGAACCAAGAAGAAAGUUAAAUGAACCAAUCACAAUUCCAGAAUUCUCCAGAGGUUUAAUAAAUUCUGUAGUACCA
rnacentral:lncRNA from 1 species